UACGUAGGGUCCGAGCGUUAAUCGGAAUUACUGGGCGUAAAGCGUGCGCAGGCGGUUUUGUAAGCCAGAUGUGAAAGCCCCGGGCUCAACCUGGGAACUGCAUUUGGGACUGCAAGGCUGGAGUACGGCAGAGGGAGGUGGAAUUCCACGUGUAGCAGUGAAAUGCGUAGAGAUGUGGAGGAACACCGAUGGCGAAGGCAACCUCCUGGGCUAGUACUGACGCUCAUGCACGAAAGCGUGGGGAGCAAACAGG
rnacentral:rRNA from 1 species